GAGCUUGCUCCGGAUCCCUUAGUGGCGAACGGGUGAGUAACGCGUGGGAAUCUACCUAGAAGUGGGGAAUAACUGUUGGAAACGACAGCUAAUACCGCAUAAUCCCUUUGGGGCAAAGGCUUCGGUCGCUUUUAGAUGAGCCCGCGUUAGAUUAGGUUGUUGGUGAGGUAAUGGCUCACCAAACCUACAAUCUAUAGCUGGUCUGAGAGGAUGAUCAGCCACACUGGGACUGAGACACGGCCCAGACUCCUACGGGAGGCAGCAGUGGGGAAUAUUGGACAAUGGGGGAAACCCUGAUCCAGCAAUGCCGCGUGAGUGAUGAAGGCCCUAGGGUUGUAAAACUCUUUCAGAAGUGAAGAUGAUGACUGUAACUUCAGAAGAAGCUCCGGCUAACUCCGUGCCAGCAGCCGCGGUAAUACGGAGGGAGCUAGCGUUGUUCGGAAUUACUGGGCGUAAAGGGCGUGUAGGCUGUUAGGUAAGUCAGAGGUGAAAUCCCUAAGCUCAACUUAGGAACUGCCUUUGAUACUAUCUUACUAGAGAUCGAGAGAAGUUGGCGGAAUUCCAAGUGUAGAGGUGAAAUUCGUAGAUAUUUGAAAGAACACCAGUGGCGAAAGCGGCCAACUGGCUCGUAUCUGACGCUGAGACGCGAA
rnacentral:rRNA from 1 species